rnacentral:rRNA from 1 species
ACGUAGGGUGCGAGCGUUAAUCGGAAUUACUGGGCGUAAAGCGUGCGCAGGCGGUUUCGUAAGACAGAGGUGAAAUCCCCGGGCUCAACCUGGGAACUGCCUUUGUGACUGCGAGGCUAGAGUACGGCAGAGGGGGGUGGAAUUCCACGUGUAGCAGUGAAAUGCGUAGAGAUGUGGAGGAACACCGAUGGCGAAGGCAGCCCCCUGGGCCGAUACUGACGCUCAUGCACGAAAGCGUGGGUAGCAAACAGG